AACCCUCCAUAAUAGCACAAAAAAGAAAGUUUACAGCUUUCAUUAAAAGUCUAUCCAAGGGGUA